CAGCCCUGCCCUGGCAGGUGGGGUCUGGUGGGGAAGGGGGUGGCUCAGUGGUGAAGGCCCACACCUCCCCCACACAGGUAUUUGACAAUGACAUCUCCUACAUCGAGGGUGGAACAGCCAGUGGCUUCUACACUGUGGAGGACACACACUAUGUGACCAGGAUGUACCGUGUGUAUGGGAAAAAGAACAUCAAGUUGGAGCCUGUGCCUCUCAAGGGGGCCUCUCUGGACCCAAGGUUUGUUUUCCUGCUGGAUCGAGGGCUGGACAUUUAUGUGUGGCGAGGGACCCAGGCCACACUGAGUAGCACUACCAAGGCCAGGUAUGAGGACGUGGUGGGGUAUUU